rnacentral:rRNA from 1 species
CGAUACUUGGUGUGAAUUGCAGAAUUCAGUGAAUCAUCGAAUCUUUGAACGCACAUUGCGCCCAUUAGUAUUCUAGUGGGCAUGCCUGUUCGAGCGUCAUUUCAACCUUUAAGCCUUCUGUUGCUUAGCGUUGGGGGCCUACCGUAUGGCGGUAGCCCCUUAAAAUUAGUGGCGGAGUCGGUUCACACUCUAGACGUAGUAAAUAUUAUCUCGCCUAUUAGUUGGACCGGUCCCCUGCCGUAAAACCCCUAAUUUAUCAAGGUUGACCUCGGAUCAGGUAGGAAUACCCGCUGAACUUAAGCAUAUCAAUAAGCGGAGGAA